rnacentral:lncRNA from 1 species
UUUACUCACUGGGAUUAUAAAAUCUCACCCCUUCUUCCUAUACAUUUUUCAGGCUCAGGACAGUUUGUAGAUAGUCGAGUAGGACGAGAACUAAGCUCGGAACUGCAUUAUAGAAAGUAAGAGUUCACAAUCUUACAUCCUCUUGGUCAAUUGGAGCCCACGUGUCAUUGCAGAUCAAAACUUAUAUUUUGGUUAUCUGUAUUUCUAUUCAUACAAUUUUUACUUUACUUUCAUGUGCGAAAAAUUAUUUACGAAUAUUUCUAUAAAAAUUUAUUUUAUGAGAAAAUAGAAUAUUUUAUUUAUUAUUUUUGAAUAGUACUAGUUGUCAACAAUUUGCUUUCAAAUGAACGUUUUAGAUACUUAAUUUUUUUUUAAAUCAUUAAAUAUAUAUUUUCG